UGGAUGGAUGAUGAAUACUCAUGUCAUAUAUGUCAAAUAUGAUGAAUAUGUGUCUGGAGCUCUGAGAUUUGU
ensembl:snoRNA